rnacentral:tRNA from 1 species
GCAAGUAUAGUUUAACCAAAACAUUAGUCUGUGACCCUAAAGACAGAAGUUAAAUCCUUCUUACCUGCCGAGGGGAGGU